rnacentral:rRNA from 2 species
UUAAGCGACUAAGCGUACACGGUGGAUGCCCUGGCAGUCAGAGGCGAUGAAGGACGUGCUAAUCUGCGAUAAGCGUCGGUGAGGUGAUAUGAACCGUUAUAACCGGCGAUUUCCGAAUGGGGAAACCCAGUGUGUUUCGACACACUAUCAUUAACUGAAUCCAUAGGUUAAUGAGGCGAACCGGGGGAACUGAAACAUCUAAGUACCCCGAGGAAAAGAAAUCAACCGAGAUUCCCCCAGUAGCGGCGAGCGAACGGGGAGGAGCCCAGAGCCUGAAUCAGUGUGUGUGUUAGUGGAAGCGUCUGGAAAGGCGCGCGAUACAGGGUGACAGCCCCGUACACAAAAAUGCACAUGUUGUGAGCUCGAUGAGUAGGGCGGGACACGUGGUAUCCUGUCUGAAUAUGGGGGGACCAUCCUCCAAGGCUAAAUACUCCUGACUGACCGAUAGUGAACCAGUACCGUGAGGGAAAGGCGAAAAGAACCCCGGCGAGGGGAGUGAAAAAGAACCUGAAACCGUGUACGUACAAGCAGUGGGAGCCUCUUAAUGGGGUGACUGCGUACCUUUUGUAUAAUGGGUCAGCGACUUAUAUUCUGUAGCAAGGUUAACCGAAUAGGGGAGCCGAAGGGAAACCGAGUCUUAACUGGGCGUUAAGUUGCAGGGUAUAGACCCGAAACCCGGUGAUCUAGCCAUGGGCAGGUUGAAGGUUGGGUAACACUAACUGGAGGACCGAACCGACUAAUGUUGAAAAAUUAGCGGAUGACUUGUGGCUGGGGGUGAAAGGCCAAUCAAACCGGGAGAUAGCUGGUUCUCCCCGAAAGCUAUUUAGGUAGCGCCUCGUGAAUUCAUCUCCGGGGGUAGAGCACUGUUUCGGCAAGGGGGUCAUCCCGACUUACCAACCCGAUGCAAACUGCGAAUACCGGAGAAUGUUAUCACGGGAGACACACGGCGGGUGCUAACGUCCGUCGUGAAGAGGGAAACAACCCAGACCGCCAGCUAAGGUCCCAAAGUCAUGGUUAAGUGGGAAACGAUGUGGGAAGGCCCAGACAGCCAGGAUGUUGGCUUAGAAGCAGCCAUCAUUUAAAGAAAGCGUAAUAGCUCACUGGUCGAGUCGGCCUGCGCGGAAGAUGUAACGGGGCUAAACCAUGCACCGAAGCUGCGGCAGCGACACUAUGUGUUGUUGGGUAGGGGAGCGUUCUGUAAGCCUGUGAAGGUGGCCUGUGAGGGUUGCUGGAGGUAUCAGAAGUGCGAAUGCUGACAUAAGUAACGAUAAAGCGGGUGAAAAGCCCGCUCGCCGGAAGACCAAGGGUUCCUGUCCAACGUUAAUCGGGGCAGGGUGAGUCGACCCCUAAGGCGAGGCCGAAAGGCGUAGUCGAUGGGAAACAGGUUAAUAUUCCUGUACUUGGUGUUACUGCGAAGGGGGGACGGAGAAGGCUAUGUUGGCCGGGCGACGGUUGUCCCGGUUUAAGCGUGUAGGCUGGUUUUCCAGGCAAAUCCGGAAAACCAAGGCUGAGGCGUGAUGACGAGGCACUACGGUGCUGAAGCGACAAAUGCCCUGCUUCCAGGAAAAGCCUCUAAGCAUCAGGUAACAUCAAAUCGUACCCCAAACCGACACAGGUGGUCAGGUAGAGAAUACCAAGGCGCUUGAGAGAACUCGGGUGAAGGAACUAGGCAAAAUGGUGCCGUAACUUCGGGAGAAGGCACGCUGAUAUGUAGGUGAAGCGACUUGCUCGUGGAGCUGAAAUCAGUCGAAGAUACCAGCUGGCUGCAACUGUUUAUUAAAAACACAGCACUGUGCAAACACGAAAGUGGACGUAUACGGUGUGACGCCUGCCCGGUGCCGGAAGGUUAAUUGAUGGGGUUAGCGGCAACGCGAAGCUCUUGAUCGAAGCCCCGGUAAACGGCGGCCGUAACUAUAACGGUCCUAAGGUAGCGAAAUUCCUUGUCGGGUAAGUUCCGACCUGCACGAAUGGCGUAAUGAUGGCCAGGCUGUCUCCACCCGAGACUCAGUGAAAUUGAACUCGCUGUGAAGAUGCAGUGUACCCGCGGCAAGACGGAAAGACCCCGUGAACCUUUACUAUAGCUUGACACUGAACAUUGAGCCUUGAUGUGUAGGAUAGGUGGGAGGCUUUGAAGUGUGGACGCCAGUCUGCAUGGAGCCGACCUUGAAAUACCACCCUUUAAUGUUUGAUGUUCUAACGUUGGCCCGUAAUCCGGGUUGCGGACAGUGUCUGGUGGGUAGUUUGACUGGGGCGGUCUCCUCCUAAAGAGUAACGGAGGAGCACGAAGGUUGGCUAAUCCUGGUCGGACAUCAGGAGGUUAGUGCAAUGGCAUAAGCCAGCUUGACUGCGAGCGUGACGGCGCGAGCAGGUGCGAAAGCAGGUCAUAGUGAUCCGGUGGUUCUGAAUGGAAGGGCCAUCGCUCAACGGAUAAAAGGUACUCCGGGGAUAACAGGCUGAUACCGCCCAAGAGUUCAUAUCGACGGCGGUGUUUGGCACCUCGAUGUCGGCUCAUCACAUCCUGGGGCUGAAGUAGGUCCCAAGGGUAUGGCUGUUCGCCAUUUAAAGUGGUACGCGAGCUGGGUUUAGAACGUCGUGAGACAGUUCGGUCCCUAUCUGCCGUGGGCGCUGGAGAACUGAGGGGGGCUGCUCCUAGUACGAGAGGACCGGAGUGGACGCAUCACUGGUGUUCGGGUUGUCAUGCCAAUGGCACUGCCCGGUAGCUAAAUGCGGAAGAGAUAAGUGCUGAAAGCAUCUAAGCACGAAACUUGCCCCGAGAUGAGUUCUCCCUGACUCCUUGAGAGUCCUGAAGGAACGUUGAAGACGACGACGUUGAUAGGCCGGGUGUGUAAGCGCAGCGAUGCGUUGAGCUAACCGGUACUAAUGAACCGUGAGGCUUAACCUU